ensembl:snoRNA
GGCUAAUGAUGUAUUAGCAUCUAUUAGCUGAAUUUACUGUCAAUGUUUAACAUAGUACUUUGACUCCUAGAAUUACAUUGAGACCUU